rnacentral:rRNA from 1 species
GACGAACGCUGGCGGCGUGCUUAACACGUGCAAGUCGAACGGAAAGGCCCUGCUUUUGUGGGGUGCUCGAGUGGCGAACGGGUGAGUAACACGUGAGUAACCUGCCCUUGACUUUGGGAUAACUUCAGGAAACUGGGGCUAAUACCGGAUAGGAGCUCCUGCUGCAUGGUGGGGGUUGGAAAGUUUCGGCGGUUGGGGAUGGACUCGCGGCUUAUCAGCUUGUUGGCGGGGUAGUGGCUUACCAAGGCUUUGACGGGUAGCCGGCCUGAGAGGGUGACCGGCCACAUUGGGCCUGCGAUACGGCCCAGACUCCUACGGGAGGCAGCAGUGGGGAAUAUUGCACAAUGGGCGGAAGCCUGAUGCAGCAACGCCGCGUGCGGGAUGACGGCCUUCGGGUUGUAAACCGCUUUCGCCUGUGACGAAGCGUGAGUGACGGUAAUGGGUAAAGAAGCACCGGCUAACUACGUG